CGUGUAGGCGGACCUUCAAGUCGGGUGUGAAAACUGGCGGCUCAACUGCCAGCCUGCACUCGAUACUGUUGGUCUUGAGUACAGGAGAGGAAAGCGGAAUUCCAGGUGUAGCGGUGAAAUGCGUAGAUAUCUGGAAGAACACCAGUAGCGAAGGCGGCUUUCUGGACUGAUACUGACGCUAAAGCGCGAAGGCUUGGGUAGCAAACA
rnacentral:rRNA from 1 species